rnacentral:rRNA from 1 species
UGGGGAAUCUUGCGCAAUGGGAGCAAUCCUGACGCAGCAACGCCGCGUGGGUGAUGAAGGUCUUCGGAUCGUAAAGCCCUGUCGGAGGGGAAGAUGCUUGGAACGUCUAAUAGAUGAGCCAGGUGACGGUACCCUCAAAGGAAGCACCGGCUAACUCUGUGCCAGCAGCCGCGGUAAUACAGAGGGUGCAAGCGUUGUUCGGAAUUAUUGGGCGUAAAGGGAGUGUAGGCGGUUCGGAAAGUCUUCUGUGAAAUCUACGGGCUUAGCCUGUAACGUGCAGAGGAAACUUCCGGGCUUGAGUGUCGGAGAGGAAAGGGGAAUUCCCGGUGUAGAGGUGAAAUUCGUAGAGAUCGGGAGGAACACCAGUGGCGAAGGCGCCUUUCUGGUUGACAACUGACGCUGAGACUCGAAAGCAUGGGGAGCAAACAGG